ACUGGAAGAAAUGCAGGGUUCAGCUUGCUUGUCUAUUAUUCAUCUGCCUGGUUCUUCAAACAAGAUACUGGCUGCAGGGGAAAAAAAUCUGUGCACUUGGACAGAGAUAUUCACUAAGCAGAAAACUUCAUAAAGAUUAUUGGAUUUUGUAUAUUCAAUGGCAUAUGGUGCAACUGCAUAUCUGGGAAAUGAAGACUCUAAUGUUUAUGGCUGUAAUGUUAACAUUCAGAAGUGAACCAGUGGUAAACUAGAGAUCUCAUGUUUGCUGACAGCCUGAAGCUUUGGCAUUCACAAAGUCAGACACUGGUUAUGUGACACUUGCUUUUUGUUUUGGCUUGCUCAAUGCAUCAACUGUUAGAGGAAAAUAUAUCAUGCUGGAUCCAACAGCCUGAGAGAGGUGAGGCUACUGCUGCUCCAUGUCCCCAGAUCCACACAGUAGUGAGACUGAAGGUGUAUUCCUGGCAGAUGGGACCUCGCUGAGAGACCAAGGGAGUCAGGGACCUGAUCGGUUCCAGCCGGCACCGAGGAAUUCUCGGGGAUACCCAUCGAUCCCCGAUCCAUAAGGCUCUUUGUGACGUCCCCUGGAGAGUGGAUGCACCUUGACAGCCCUAAGGAGUUUUCUGGUGUGGAACUGACCUUUGACUUUGGAGAAUCCAGUACAUGAUUUCCAACCAGGAGAUUACGUCUAUGUGAAGACCUGGACUUCAGAACCCCUUCAGGAAUGUUGGAAGGGACCCUUUCAAGUACUGUUGACUACCUUCACUGCCAUCAAGAUAGCUGAAUCGGAAGCGUGGAUACAUUAUACCAGGGUGAAGAAAGCCCCAACAUCAUGGAAAGUUGUUAAUAGGGAUCCUAAGACUUCAAAGUUAACUCUGAAAUAUGUCUAAUCUUGUAUAUCAUUAUGAAGUCUGGGGAGAAUGAAUAUUGAUUUGGAGAUUAAUGUUGGUGGGAGCCUGGUUUGCAGGGGAAAACAAACAAAUAAACAAACGAACAAAACCCCACCAAACUGAACAAGAAGUGCCAGUGAGAUGUGGAAAUUCAUUAGGAUUGGGAUGUGAUUUUGCUGAUUUUGCUCAAAUUCCAGACUUUGACAGGAUGGAAUUUGAGUUAAUGGGUAAAAUCAUUCAUUAGCACUACAUUAGUCUUGCUGAUAAUCUUUUCAACAAUCGUUUUGAUUUACUAUUGUCUAAGAAAACAAAUAAACAGCAAGACUGCGUUUAAUCGGAUGAUUAUCCAAGCAGUAGCUAGACAACAGGAUGAGAGAGAAUCAACCCCGAGGCUCCCACCAGCAUACAGUGAAUAGGUUGUAUAUCAAUGUAUUAUAAAAUAAUCAAACCCUAGAAAUUAGGAUGAAAGUAUUGAAAUGAUUUUCAAAACUUUCAAAGGGGGGAAAUGUUGCAAAUUAAUCUGAUAAAAUAAUGAUAAAACAAUCAAAAUUUGAUUCUACAUACAUAGAAGAGUUAUGAAGCAUGGGUUUGUUAAGAUUGAAACAAUUAACCAUAGAAACUUCACUAGAAAUUAAUGGCUUUUGUUUUGUUUUGAGAAACUAAGGAGAUUUGUCAUGGAGACCAGCUAUGCUGCUUGGAAAUCCCCUUACCCUUCCCAUCUUGAUUUAAAAAUCAAGGAUUCCAAUCAGUAGAAUUAAAUGAAAUUGACCAAUGAUUGUUUUAGGGUAAGAAUAUUGAUAAGAUAUAUAUAUAUAUACCUAAUAAAAUAAUCAUAGUAAAAGUAAAAUUUAAUAGUGAGCAUACUAUGUAUCAGAGAAGGGUUGUGAAGUGCCUAAAACAAUUAAUUACUAGAAAUAAUGGGGCUAUUAAGGUAGGAACCAUGCGAGACUUGAAGCAUCAGUGACCCUACCAACAUAUGGCAUUGUGAAGCUGCCUCAGAGUAGAAACCAAAGUGAAUGAUAGUCUGCUUUGUUAACGGUCCAUGAAGGACCGCUUAGUGUUGCCAAGUUUAAGUGAACUUAAGGGAAAGGUAAUUCCGGCAGGGGGAGAUCACGACCACCGACUCAUAGACCACUGACUCAAGAAACCCACCGACCCAAAAGGUUAAGGAAGUAAAGGUCUCAAAAAAUCGUAGUGGGCAUGCGUAGUAAUUUGCAUGGUAGGCGAGGGAAUUUUAACCAAUCAUUUAAUAGACUAACAAUGAAUAUGUAUUGAAUGAUUAAAUAUGUUAACAUCUCGUGUAUAAAAGGUGAUGGAUUUUGAUGUGAAGGUGAACACAGUUUGGCGGGGCUAUCCCCCGUGUUCCCAGCGCUGAAUAAAGGAGUGCCUGCUUAUCUGCAUCUCAUUGGUGUUGAUAAGUUCUUUUUGUCACGUUUGGUGACACCUUCAUUUCCAGAUUUGAGAUCAACAGCUCCUGGGGUGGAUAGAGCCUACAUCUCAGAGGAGGCUCUUGGCCUUGAACAGGUUCUUGCAUCCUAGGAGUAGUAGUACAUAGCAGUGCCCUGUGAGGUAAGUCUUUGGCCUGCUGUAAAUAUAUAGGAUUUACAAAACAAAAAAAAACCAAACCCCAAACUAAAGAGCCUCAUCAAAAUAAAUGAAUCAUUAAUAGACAGGGAGUGACAUAUACUAAAAGCUUUGUGUGUGCCCUAGCAGUCUAUUUCUAGUCUCUUGGUUGCCAUCUAUAAAAUUUAGGUUAACUAGAAAGAACUCAAAAUGAAACGUGGCUGUCUCCUGGCUAUGUGCCUUUGCUUCUCU